rnacentral:lncRNA from 1 species
AAGCUUCAUAAAGCAAAAGGUGUUGUUUCAUUUGUUAGUUUGUUUUGCAAUAAAUACUGAUCAACUCUCCGUUCUUAUUUUAUUCUUUGUGACUUUACAUGAUGUUAGGCAGUCAGCACUCCCCACUGAGGGUAUUUAUUGGGCUUCUCUGUGCUGGAGACCACAAGCUCAGUGAGGGCAGUAGCAGACCUCUUAUUUGCCAUUAUAAUCUCAGCACUUAACAUCAUGUAUGGUGAGCAUGAAUUUUGGAUAUAGUUAGUAAUUAAAAAGAAUUCACCCUAUGUCUUUAUCACUGCUUGGCACCUGAGGAUGUCAGAAGAAUAUUAAAAUACAUUGCCUCCUCUUAGAGGCCAUCAGCACAACUAGAGAUGCAAAUUAAUAAAUGUACAUCAGUAUAAGACAUUAUAUAAUUAAUACUUGGCUUGAAUUUCACAAAGUAUAAAUCAUGUAGGUAUUCAUUAAAGUGGACCUUCUACAGAACAGGGGAAUCAUGGAAGUGAUAACUGAGUAAAGUUCAGAGAAGAAAUAUGUGCAAGAAACAGGAGAACUUUGGUUUCCACAUGAUUGGAGCAAGACAUUGAGCACUUGAUGGAGGAAAAAUCAUAAAGCCUUGGAGGUGCGAGAGGAUGCAGGGCUCCUUGAAAAGAAAAGAGAGUGUUUCGAAAUUGGGUAGCAUUUAUGUGUUGAUAAUAAAGGAUUCUGAAAGGCAAGUAAAGCACUUUUUUUUUUUUAGAAAAAAAGAGAGUGAUCUAAUGAAUAUUUGUAAGGAAAAGAAUCACUUGAUGGUAUCUUGCAGAAGCUAAGGCAAGUUAUAAAAUGGACAGACUGAAGGUGCAGUGGGUUAGGAAUCCACUGCCGCAGCUCAGGUCACUGCAAAGUUGUGGGUUCGAUCCCAGGCCUGGCACAGUUAAGGGAUCGAGGAUCUGGUGUUGCCACAGCUGUGGGGUAGGUCACAACUGCAGCUUGGAUUUAAUCCCUGGCCCCAGAACAUCCAUAUGCCACAGGUGUGGCCAUAAAAAAGGGGUUAAAAAAGUGGGGUGGGGUGGAAUCCCAUUGUGGCUCAGCAGAAAUGAAUCUGACUAGCACCCAUGAGGACACAGGUUCAAUCCUUGGCCUCACUCAGUCUGUUGAGGAUCCAGCGAUGCCAUGAGCUGUGGUGUAGGUCACAGACAUGGCUUGGAUCCUACAAUGCUGUGGCCGUGGUGUAGGCCAGCGGCUACAGCUCUGAUUUGACCCCUAGCCUGGGAACCUCCAUAAGCUGCGAGUGUGAU